rnacentral:rRNA from 1 species
CAGUAGCCGCGGUAAAACGGAGGGUGCAAGCGUUAAUCGGAAUUACUGGGCGUAAAGCGCACGCAGGCGGUCUGACAAGUCAGAUGUGAAAUCCCCGGGCUUAACCUGGGAACUGCAUUUGAAACUGUCAGGCUGGAGUCUUGUAGAGGGGGGUAGAAUUCCAGGUGUAGCGGUGAAAUGCGUAGAGAUCUGGAGGAAUACCGGUGGCGAAGGCGGCCCCCUGGACAAAGACUGACGCUCAGGCGCGAAAGCGUGGGGAGCAAACAGGAUUAGAUACCCCGGUAGUCCCUGUCUCUUAUAC